rnacentral:rRNA from 1 species
UUGAACGCUGGCGGCAUGCUUUACACAUGCAAGUCGAACGGUAACAGGCCUUCGGGCGCUGACGAGUGGCGAACGGGUGAGUAACGCAUCGGAACGUGCCCAGUCGUGGGGGAUAACGCAGCGAAAGCUGUGCUAAUACCGCAUACGAUCUGCGGAUGAAAGCGGGGGACCUUAGGGCCUCGCGCGAUUAGAGCGGCCGAUGCCUGAUUAGCUUGUUGGUGGGGUAAAAGCCCACCAAGGCGACGAUCAGUAGCUGGUCUGAGAGGACGAUCAGCCACACUGGGACUGAGACACGGCCCAGACUCCUACGGGAGGCAGCAGUGGGGAAUUUUGGACAAUGGACGCAAGUCUGAUCCAGCCAUUCCGCGUGCAGGAUGAAGGCCCUCGGGUUGUAAACUGCUUUUGUACGGAACGAAAAGGUUUGUCUUAAUACGAUGAGCUCAUGACGGUACCGUAAGAAUAAGCACCGGCUAACUACGUG